UGUAUUUGUGUACACUCGGUAGAGCAUGCGGCUGUUAACCGCAGGGUCGUUGGUUCGAGCCCAACAGGGGGAGCCA
rnacentral:tRNA from 1 species